rnacentral:rRNA from 1 species
UUUUUUGGAAGUAAAGUCGUAACAAGGUCUCCGUAGGUGAACCUGGGGAGGGAUCAUUACCGAGUUUCGCACCCCCCUGGGGGGGUCAGACUCCCACCCCGGUGUAUGUUCGUACUCUUGUUGCUUUGGCAAGGCCGCUGGCUUUUUUUUUUCUUGAAGUUUGCCUGCCCAUCGGCCUUUCCAGGCUGGUGCGCCCCUCCCAGAGGACCUUCCAACGCAUGUCGUCCAGUGUUGUUCUGAAUAAACUUGAUUAAUUGUGAAAACUUUUCAAACAACGGAUCUUUUUGUGUUUCUGGCAUCGAAUGAAGAAACGCAAGCGAAAUGCGAAUAAGUAAUGUGAAUUGCAGAAAUUCCAGGUGAAUCAUCGAAUCUUUGAACGCCCCAUUGGCGCCCCCUUGGUAUUCCGGGGGGCAUGCCUGUUCGAGGCGUCAUUUCAACCUUUCCAAGCGCUCCUGCUUGGUGUUGGGCUGCGCCGUGCACCUGCGCGGCGGGCCUUAAAUUCAGUGGCGGUGCCGUCCUGGCUCCAAGCGUAGUGAUCGUUCUCGCUCUGGAGGCCCGGCGGUGCUGGCCAGGCCAAACCCUAAAAAUUCUCCAGGUGACCUCGGAUCAGUAGAACCCG